rnacentral:rRNA from 1 species
CUAACGCUGGCGGCGUGCCUAACACAUGCAAGUCGAACGGGGUAGCAAUACCCAGUGGCAGACGGGUGAGUAACACGUGGUCAACCUGCCUUCGCGAGGGGGAUAACUAGCCGAAAGGUUAGCUAAUACCGCAUACGAUCGUUUUAGGGCAUCUUAGAACGAUGAAAGGAGCAAUCCGCGCGAAGAGGGGACUGCGUCCCAUUAGUUAGUUGGUGGGGUAAUGGCCUACCAAGACUCCGAUGGGUAGCUGGCUUGAGAGAGCGAUCAGCCACACUGGAACUGAGAAACGGUCCAGACUCCUACGGGAGGCAGCAGUGAGGAAUUUUCCGCAAUGGGCGAAAGCCUGACGGAGCGACGUCGCGUGUGGGAAGAAGGCCUUCGGGUCGUAAACCACUGUCGAAGGGGACGAUAUUGACGGUACCCUUGGAGGAAGCCCCGGCUAACUACGUGCCAGCAGCCGCGGUAAGACGUAGGGGGCAAGCGUUGUCCGGAAUUAUUGGGCGUAAAGCGCUCGUAGGUGGAUUUGCAAGUCCGCAAGGAAAGACCCGGGCUUAACUCGGGAACCCGUGUGGAUACUG